AAUAAAAUGGCUGAGUUAAGCGAUAAAUUGUAAAUUUAUUUACGAGAAUAAUUCUCUUUUAUUA
rnacentral:tRNA from 1 species